CCGCCACGCAGACAGAUUAAAGACUGACAGUUUGAAGAUAUUUCAAAAACUAUUUUUCACAUUCCACUGCCAUGAAUUUAUUUUCGCGACUUAAACGAUUGGGAGGGGCUUCCAGCAAGAACUCCGUGACACUGCCUGUAACUGGUAAGUUUG
rnacentral:sRNA from 1 species